rnacentral:rRNA from 1 species
AUUGAACGCUGGCGGCAGGCCUAACCCAUGCAAGUCGAGCGAGCGGCGGACGGGUGAGUAAUGCCUGGGAAUUGCCCAGUCGAGGGGGAUAAAAGUUGGAAACGACUGCUAAUACCGCAUACGAUUGGAUUGCCCAGGUGGGAUUAGCUAGUUGGUGAGGUACUGGCUCACCAAGGCGACGAUCCCUAGCUGGUCUGAGAGGAUGAACAGCCACACGGGAAUGGGAACAGGGUCCAGAUUCCUCCGGGAGGCAGCAGGGGGGAAUAUUGCACAAUGGGGGAAACCCUGAUGCAGCCAUGCCGCGUGUGUGAAGAAGGCCUUCGGGUUGUAAAGCACUUUCAGCGAGGAGGCGUUACUCGCAGAAGAAGCACCGGCUAACUCCGUGCCAGCAGCCGCGUAAUUC